rnacentral:lncRNA from 1 species
AUCGAGGAGGUAGAGCCACACGCUUACCUUAGGGAAACACCUUGCACGUUAUAACUGGACAGGUAAAUGUUUGGUGAAAGAGGAUAAAGGAAAUAGAGCUGGUGGCGUGCGAGGAUAUUCAGGAAAACGUCCGGGGCACUGAACUCCCACCACCACUUAGGGAGGCUUUUCCUGUGGAGCCUCGCCCUCCGGUCGGAAGUCGCCUCAACCUGCCUGCCCGGAAGCCGUCGCCUUAGCAACACAGCGUUGUCCCGUCCUCUUCCCUUAGCCACGCCCAUUGUACUUAGAAUUCUAGAGCCAGCCAGACAUCGAUUGGUUCACUUAUCCUUCACUCCGCGAGACAGGCGAGACUGCAGGGCUCUGGAGCGCGUUUUUGAAUUUGUAGCGCGUAUAGAGUCCGUGAGGUACCUUGUGGAGUUCGUGCUGUGGCUGGAGCCAGCUACUCAGGGUGAACUCUGAAGUCCUGAGCUAUGGCAGAACUCAAGCCCCUCAAGUCACAUAGAAAUCUACCCAUCAAACACUGGAUUGCCAUAGAGAUCGUACCCCAUAUCCUGGAGAAAGGACUGCUGCACAGAGAAGCCAAAAAGAACAGACAGCCUCAGUGGAUUAGCAACCAUGUCUAUGCAGCGGUGUCUCCACAAAAACCCUAAAAGCGCCUGCCCCUGGCUCAGCGCCCGGUGCCAACAGAACACCUUUCAGGAUUCACAGCAGCGCAGACAACAAGUCCAGGAUCCCGGCCUCUGAUUGGAACAGAACAGUGUCAUGGCGGAGACGACGGCCUUUGUCUUGCUGGAUGUGAAAACAUCCGCUGUGCUGGCUCCACUGCGGCAGAAUCAAGUUUAAAGGAAAAAAAGUGAUUAAAGUCAGCUUUGUGCCUCUUUGGUGUGGAAGACCCACAGACCUCAAGUAGCCGACUCCCAGGUCCGAGGAAGGGCUCAUAGUUGGAGCAGCCUAGGCUGUAAUCCUGGCACUGGCGCCUUCGGUUGCUGCUUGCUGUUCGCUCCUGGGGGUCUGGAUAAUCUCCCUUGGCUUUACCGCACUGUCUGGCCCGCAUACAGGGCCCCGUAACAUAUACCCGCUCCUGCUAUCACACGAAACUGUGGCGUUGCCCCUGAAUGGAUGGCACCGUGCCAACUCUUCUGCCAUCCGCCCUUGCAGCUUUUUUCUUUCCUCCCUCCCUCCCCUUCUUCUCCUCCUCCCGUCGACUUGACGUUAAUUAACACACGGGUUAAUUGAUUUUAAAAGCCGAAGAAUUACAGUUAACUUUUCCCACAGGGUACAGACGCCAGCCGCUUGGCACACUCUGCCUUUCGCACUAGUUAGUGCAGGGGGGCAGGGAAAGCCCACAGCAAAACUAGCAACUGCUGAAGGAACGUUGCUUGCUUAUUGGAGUAGAGCCGACAGAAGUCGACGUGGCACUGCCUCAUCCUUUGCAAUAUAUGUAGCCAUUAUAUAUUUUGCUAAAUAAUCAAAACAGAACCCUAGCUUUCUUCUCCCUUCCUCUUUCAAAAUGGGAAAACCUUUCUGAAGUUCACUUAGAGGGGGGGAAAAACCCUCCCCAGGACCAUUUAUCUCAUCUAUAAUAUGCUUUUUUUCCCCAGCAUCAUGAAAAUAACCAGUGCCUUUUAAUUUUUUAAUCUUUAUAUAUUUAUUUUUUAGUUUGAAAAAAGGAAGUCUCUCCCUUCCUUUAAUAUUACUGGCAUAGGAGAUUAUUAUUUUAAAGAAAAAGUUCCAUGAAGUUUUUUUCUAUACCUGAGUGUUUUGUUUGGUUUCCAUUCCUCUUGACCUAAAUGGGUUAUUUAUUGUAAAAGAUUACAGUGAGAAAGUAGGUAAAUUUUAAUUAAGAACAAAAUCCAUACCAAAGCUCUUUGUUUUUUUGUUUGUAUGUGAGUAUAUUUUUACUGUCUGCUUCCCCCCAAUGAAAUGAAAGCAAUUGAUACUGUAGUUGGAAAGCAGAGGCAAAGCUGAGAACUUGAUGCUUUCACCUUUUCAUGCUUUCAUUUAUUUCAUUUUGUUUUUUAAAAGCAUGCAGCAAGUGAAGCGACAAGAGGAAUCCAUUAUGCAAAUCAUGUCACUUUGCAUAAUGUCUCGUGACUGGAAUAUGCAAAUUAGCUGUAUAAUUUAUGAGUGCCAGUGUCUGUCUAAAAGUGUUUCACAUAAUUUACAAAGUAAGCCUGAGAGACAUUGGGAAGGCAGCUCUUCCAACUCCAUUGCUAGGAAUGCUCUGUGUAUUUUCCUACAAGUGCCCACUCAUAAUACCUAAUAUCAUCAAGUGCAGUUUAAGAAAUUAAGGUUCCACAUGUUCGUGAAAGACAAAGAUUUUCCUCUAACUCUAUUUGUCCAUUGAUUUUUUGCCUAAAACUUUGCCAGAAACUUAGAUCCUCAUACCUUAAUUUUCAGAUUUAACUUCAAAAAACAAAAAACUUAUUAAAGCCAAACAUGCUAUUUGUAUAUGAGUUUUCCUUUCUCAAUUAAAGAAUAUCUUAGAGAAAUAGACACUUAAUCGAUGUGUCUGGAUCUGUGAAAAAGAAGAACGGGACUUCUCAUUUUGUUUGUAUGAGAUAUGUCCUGCUCUGAGGACAUGUAAAGAGACUAAAACUCCCAUGUCCAAGACUUGAAAAAAUACUGGAAUGGAUUGGCAGGAGAUUACCUGAAGAUAUGUAAAUAAAACCUAUCUAAAGUGGCACACAGAAAGACAAAUAAUGAACACAACAUGAAUGAGGUAGGGAACAACUUCAAGAGGCCUGAUAUAUGUGUAAUUGAUAUCCUUAAGGGAAAUUGGAA